AAGAGUCCCAAGUAAGUGCAAAGU
rnacentral:misc_RNA from 1 species